UGGGGAAUAUUGGACAAUGGGCGCAAGCCUGAUCCAGCCAUGCCGCGUGAGUGAUGAAGGCCCUAGGGUUGUAAAGCUCUUUCACCGGGGAAGAUAAUGACGGUAACCGGAGAAGAAGCCCCGGCUAACUUCGUGCCAGCAGCCGCGGUAAUACGAAGGGGGCUAGCGUUGUUCGGAUUUACUGGGCGUAAAGCGCACGUAGGCGGACUAUUAAGGUAGGGGUGAAAUCCCGGGGCUCAACCCCGGAACUGCCUUUGAUACUGGUAGUCUUGAGUUCGAGAGAGGUGGGGGGAAUUCCGAGUGUAGAGGUGAAUUUCGUGGAUAUUCGGAGGAACACCAGUGGCGAAGGCGGCUCACUGGCUCGAUACUGACGCUGGGGUGCGAAAGCGUGGGGAGCAAACAGG
rnacentral:rRNA from 1 species